AUUGAACGCUGGCGGCAUGCUUUACACAUGCAAGUCGAACGGUAACAGGCCUUCGGGUGCUGACGAGUGGCGAACGGGUGAGUAAUGCAUCGGAACGUGCCCAAUCGUGGGGGAUAACGUAGCGAAAGUUACGCUAAUACCGCAUAAGCCCUGAGGGGGAAAGCAGGGGAUCGCAAGACCUUGCGCGAAUGGAGCGGCCGAUGUCAGAUUAGCUAGUUGGUGGGGUAAAAGGCCUACCAAGGCGACGAUCUGUAGCGGGUCUGAGAGGAUGAUCCGCCACACUGGGACUGAGACACGGCCCAGACUCCUACGGGAGGCAGCAGUGGGGAAUUUUGGACAAUGGGCGCAAGCCUGAUCCAGCCAUGCCGCGUGCGGGACGAAGGCC
rnacentral:rRNA from 1 species